UGAGGUCAGCGCGUGCUUGUCAAUUUCUAGCUGAACAGGGUUAUGACGUUAUCAAUGUCCAAGGUGGAAUGAUGACCUUUGAAAAUCUUUAAACCUCUAUGGUGAUAGAUCCUAAUCUUCCCUUGCUCGGUUCCAACUGAGUGAGGGAUUUUGUU
rfam:Streptococcus sanguinis ATCC 49296 contig00012, whole genome shotgun sequence.